UUAUAUAGAUCUCAAAGCAAUCACAAAUGAUCUAGAUAUUCAUCAGCCUGCAUAAAUCUUAAAGCAAAUAUGAAAUUUAAAAUAUUGAUCCACUUGCAUAGUAUAAAGGCACUAAUGUAUGAUCUAGAUUAUUAGUAUGCAUGCAUAAAUCUCAAAGUGCCCACAUAGAUUAUCUAUAUUAUCCUUUUGCACAAAUCUGAAAGCAAUCAAUAAAUAUAUGUAUCAUCCAUGGUUGCUUUAAGAUCUAUGCAAAUAGAUGAACAAUCCUAAUCAUCCACUAUUUGCUUUGAGAUUUGUGAAUGAGCAUCUGGAUCUUUGUGGUUGCUUUAGAUUUGUGUAGGUAGGUGAAUAUCUAGAUCAUCCAUGAUUGCUUUUAUAUCUAUGCAAGCAGAUGAAUAUCUGGAUCAUUCAUUGUUCCUUUGAAAUCUAUGUAGCAGAUGACUAAUUAUGAUCAUCUAGUGAUUGCUUUGAGAUCCAUAUAAACAAUUGAACAUUUGGAUUAUCUAUGGUUGCUUUGAUAUUUGGGCAAAUAGAUGAACAUCUGAAUCAUCUGUAGUUGCUUUGAGAUCUAUACAUAUGGAUGAAUAUUUGAAUCAUUAGUGAUUGUUUUAAAAUCUAUUAGCCGAAUAAAUAUUUGGAUGAUUUAUCCAAGAUGGAUGAAUAUC
rnacentral:lncRNA from 1 species